AACGAACGCUGGCGGCAGGCUUAACACAUGCCAGUCGAACGCACCUUUCGGGGUGAGUGGCAGACGGGUGAGUAACGCGUGGGAAUCUACCCUUCUCUACGGGAUAGCUCCGGGAAACUGGAAUUAAUACCGUAUACGUCCUGAGGGAGAAAGAUUUAUCGGGGAAGGAUGAGCCCGCGUUGGAUUAGCUAGUUGGUGGGGUAAAGGCCUACCAAGGCGACGAUCCAUAGCUGGUCUAAGAGGAUGAUCAGCCACGUUGGGACUGAGACACGGCCCAAACUCCUACGGGAGGCAGCAGUGGGGAAUAUUGGACAAUGGGCGCAAGCCUGAUCCAGCCAUGCCGCGUGAGUGAUGAAGGCCCUAGGGUUGUAAAGCUCUUUCAGUGGGGACGAUAAUGACGGUACCCACAGAAGAAGCCCCGGCUAACUUCGUG
rnacentral:rRNA from 1 species